rnacentral:misc_RNA from 1 species
AUUUUUUUUUUUUUUUUUCCUUGAAUUUAGUGUAUAGGUUUGUGAGAUUUCAUUUCCAAUUUAGAGAGGGACAACAUACACAAUGGGUGAGGUUGUGAAGGAGGGGAAUUUGUAGUGUUAUUGAGUUGCUCUAGAUUGUUUUGUCCCUUUUCAAUGUUUAUGAUUACAUUGAUUCCUGAUAUUAUUUUAAGCCACUCGAUUUUAUAAUAUCGUGGCCUUGUUUGGUUUGGUUAGCAGAAUAACUAUUUGGGACAAGGUAUUUAAGCUCUAUAUAAUACUAUGUUUGGUAACGUCUUUCCCUUUUUGGAGUAAAAUUAGAC